AGUGAACGCUGGCGGUAGGCCUAACACAUGCAAGUCGAACGGAAGCACAGUAAGAGCUUGCUCUUACGGGUGGCGAGUGGCGGACGGGUGAGGAAUACAUCGGAAUCUACUUUUUCGUGGGGGAUAACGUAGGGAAACUUACGCUAAUACAGCAUACGACCUACGGGUGAAAGCAGGGGAUCUUCGGACCUUGCGCGAUUGAAUGAGCCGAUGUCGGAUUAGCUAGUUGGCGGGGUAAAGGCCCACCAAGGCGACGAUCCGUAGCUGGUCUGAGAGGAUGAUCAGCCACACUGGAACGGGGACACGGUCCAGACUCCUAAGGGAGGCAGCAGUGGGGAAUAUUGGACAAUGGGCGCAAGCCUGAUCCAGCCAUACCGCGUGGGUGAAGAAGGCCUUCGGGUUGUAAAGCCCUUUUGUGGGGAAAGAAAAGCAGCAGGUUAAUACCCCGCUGUUCUGACGGUACCCAAAGAAUAAGCACCGGCUAACUUCGUG
rnacentral:rRNA from 1 species